AUUGAACGCUGGCGGUAGGCCUAACACAUGCAAGUCGAACGGCAGCACAGUAAGAGCUUGCUCUUACGGGUGGCGAGUGGCGGACGGGUGAGGAAUACAUCGGAAUCUACUUUUGCGUGGGGGAGAACGUAGGGAAACUUACGCUAAUACCGCAUAGGACCUACGGGUGAAAGCAGGGGAUCUUCGGACCUUGCGCGAUUGAAUGAGCCGAUGUCGGAUUAGCUAGUUGGCGGGGUAAAGGCCCACCAAGGCGACGAUCCGUAGCUGGUCUGAGAGGAUGAUCAGCCACACUGGAACUGAGACACGGUCCAGACUCCUACGGGAGGCAGCAGUGGGGAAUAUUGGACAAUGGGCGCAAGCCUGAUCCAGCCAUACCGCGUGGGUGAAGAAGGCCUUCGGGUUGUAAAGCCCUUUUGUUGGGAAAGAAAAGCAGCAGGUUAAUACCCCGCUGUUCUGACGUUACCCAAAGAAUAAGCACCGGCUAACUUCGUG
rnacentral:rRNA from 1 species